rnacentral:rRNA from 1 species
UACGGGGGGGGCAAGCGUUGUUCGGAAUUACUGGGCGUAAAGGGCUCGUAGGCGGCCAACUAAGUCAGACGUGAAAUCCCUCGGCUUAACCGGGGAACUGCGUCUGAUACUGGAUGGCUAGAGUGUGGGAGAGGGAUGCGGAAUUCCAGGUGUAGCGGUGAAAUGCGUAGAUAUCUGGAGGAACACCGGUGGCGAAGGCGGCAUCCUGGACCACGACUGACGCUGAGUGAGCGAAAGCCAGGGGAGCAAACAGG